AUACGUAGGGGACGAGCGUUGUCCGGAAUUACUGGGCGUAAAGGGCGCGCAGGCGGAUAUUUAAGUCAGCUGUAAAAGGCAUGAGCUCAACUCAUGUAUGCGGUUGAAACUGGGUAUCUAGAGUGCUGGAGAGGUAGGCGGACUUCCCGGUGUAGCGGUGAAAUGCGUAGAUAUCGGGAAGAAAACCAGUGGCCAAGGCGGCGUACGAGCCAGCAAUUGACGCGGAGGCACGAAAGCCAGGGGAGCGAGCGGGAUUAGGUGGCCCGAUAGUCCUGUCCGUAAACGAUGAAUGCUGGGUGUUGAUGUCGAGAGGCAUCCAUGCUUGAGUUACCGCGAUUGGCAUUCCGCCUUGCGAGUACGAUCGCACGAUGGAUACUGAAGGGAAUUGACGGGA
rnacentral:rRNA from 1 species